rnacentral:rRNA from 1 species
AUUGAACGCUGGCGGCGGGCCUAAUACAUGCAAGUCGAGCGAUCGCAGGAGAAGGUUUCCUUUCUGAUGUUAGCGGCGGAGGGGUGAGUAACAUGUUUAGGACCUUGCUAUAAGACGGGGAUUACUGCGGGGAAACGGUGCUUAAACCGGCUAAUUAUUGGAACAUGAUGGUUCAAAAGUGAAAGACGGUCUUGCUUACGCUGAUAGAUGAAUCCGCGCUGCAUUAGCUAGUUGGUAAGGUAACGGCUUACCAAGGCAACGAUGCAUAGCAGACCUGAGAGGGUGAUCGGCCACACUGGAACUGAGACACGGUCCAGACUCCUACGGGAGGCAGCAGUAGGGAAUCUUGCGCAAUGGGCGAAAGCCUGACGGAGCAACGCCGCGUGAGUGAUGAAGGUCUUCGGAUCGUAAAACUCUGUUAGUAGGGAAGAACGUAUGUGUAAGAAAAUGUGAAAAUCUUGACGGUACCUAAUCAGAAAGCAACGGCUAACUACGUG